CCUGGCGGAGCAGUGGUUGGGGCAGGUGGAGAGGAGGUGGCAGAACAGAUAGCUGAGCCACACAGAGUCCCCACAAGGGAAAUAUGGAGGCAGGUGACUAGGAAAUGAGGAAGCUACUAACAGGGAAGAAAUGAUAUGAAACAGCCCUACUGCAAAUUCUCAGAGCCUGGCUUUGCUGAUGAAGUUAAAGAAGGUAGAAGAAGCCCAUGAGGAUACAUUGAAGGAGACAACAUUAAGCUUCACAGUCCCUCUCUAACACUUCUGUUGGAAGAACUUAACAUGGAGGCCUUUGACCAAGCAGGAAAGUGGUUUUCAGAUUCCCAGCUCAUUGUUAAAAGAUAAAGACAUUCACACCAAAAGUCAGGUGACUUGCUUUGGAAAACACAGCACAUCGGUGUUUUCUCCAUGCUGGAACUUGUGGGUUCCUUCCUCAAUGGGAUGCCAAACUGACAAAAUGAGAUGAAACUACAAAUGUGUAUUCACAGAGACACAGCAUUACAGUUUACUUUUGAG
ensembl:lncRNA